rnacentral:lncRNA from 1 species
AAUGUUUUUUCUUUGGCUAAGUAAUUGCGUGUUUAGAUUCUCUUACAAAUUAAAUACAACAAAAGCGUUUCGUUUAUACUUUCCUAAUAAACAAAAAGCAUUCUUUUUUUUUGGUAUAUAAGUAAUUAUUACUUCUAUUUAAGGCAAUUAGGCCUGCUAAGUCUUAUCUCACAAUAUUUCUCAUUAUUUUGGACCAAUUGAUAUCUUGCUUUCUUUUCUUUCUGUGGUCUACUCUUCUUUUUAGUAGCCAAUUUCAAGUAAAUGCUGAUAAACUGGUCCUGUAAUCAUCACUCUUCACUGACAUGCUGUAGAGUUUCCAAAACAACAUAAUUUUUUUUAAACAGGCUAUAAUAUUUGAAAAAUAUAUGGUUCAGACUUAAAACUCCUAAGAGUAUUUGACACUAAGUCAAAGUCUCACUUUCAAACACACUAUCUCUCCUCUGUUAUACUUAUCUGCACCUAGAAAAACUAGUACAAAAAUGGAAUCAAAACAGUCUUAGCAUUUAUUGUAAGCACACACAUAUAUGUAUAUUGUACAUUAUAGUGAUAGUGACUUUGGAGAAUAAUAAUCCAUGGUCGUCC